rnacentral:rRNA from 1 species
GACUACCGGGGUAUCUAAUCCUGUUUGCUCCCCACGCUUUCGUGCAUCAGCGUCAGUUAUGGCUUAGUGAGCUGCCUUCGCAAUCGGUGUUCUGUGUCAUAUCUAAGCAUUUCACCGCUACAUGACACAUUCCGCCCACUUCAAUCAUACUCAAGACUAUCAGUAUCAAUGGCAGUUUCCCAGUUGAGCUGGGAGCUUUCACCACUGACUUAAUAACCCGCCUACGCACCCUUUAAACCCAAUAAAUCCGGAUAACGCUUGGGACCUUCGUAUUACCGCGGCUGCUGGCACGAAGUUAGCCGUCCCUUAUUCUUUCGGUACAUUCAACCUCUCACACGUGAAAGGGUUUAUUCCCGAACAAAAGCAGUUUACAAUGCAGAGCACCUUCAUCCUGCACGCGGCAUGGCUGGAUCAGCCUUGCGGCCAUUGUCCAAUAUUCCUUACUGCAGCCCCCCGUAGG